rnacentral:rRNA from 1 species
AACUAACAAGGAUUCCCCUAGUAACGGCGAGUGAAGCGGGAAGAGCUCAAAUUUGUAAUCUGGCACUUUCAGUGUCCGAGUUGUAAUCUCGAGAAGUAUUUUCCGCGCCGGACCGCAUACAAGUCUGUUGGAAUACAGCGUCAUAGUGGUGAGAACCCCGUAACUGAUGCNGGAUGCCCGGUGCUUUGUGAUAUACUUUCGAAGAGUCGAGUUGUUUGGGAAUGCAGCUCAAAUUGGGUGGUAAAUUCCAUCUAAAGCUAAAUAUUGGAGCAAGACCGAUAGCGAACAAGUACCGUGAGGGAAAGAUGAAAAGCACUUUGGAAAGAGAGUUAACAGUACGUGAAAUUGUUGGAAGGGAAACGCUUGAAGUCAGACUUGCUAUUCGGAGUUCAGCCGCAAGGUGUAUUCUUCGAUUCGCAGGCCAGCAUCAGUUUUCGGGGGUGGAAAAUCGCGGUUUGAAGGUAGCAACUUCGGUUGUGUUAUAGCUUUCCGCUGGAUUCAUCCUUGGGGACUGAGGAACGCAGUACGCUUUUUGCAAGGCUUUCGAGCUUUUCGUACUUAGGAUGCUGGUGGAAUGGCUUUAAACGACCCGUCUUGAAACACGGACC